GACCAAGAAGUCUAACAUGUGUGCGAGUCAUUGGGUAUAUUGUUGAAACCUAAGGGCGUAAUUAAAAUAACUAUUUUAUGGGAUUACAAGUGAAUUAAAUUUCAUUUCUUCAUCCCGGGGCGUUCUAUACGAACAUGGUGCAAGCAAUUGAACCCUCUGUUCAAGAGCGUACCUUGAGCAUACAUGCUGUGACCCGAAAGAUGGUGAACUAUACCUGAUCAGAUCGAAGCCAGGAGAAAUUCUGGUGGAGGAUCGAAACAGUUCUGACGUGCAAAUCGAUUGUCAGAAUUGGGUAUAGGGGCGAAAGACCAAUCGAACCAUCUAGUAGCUGGUUCCCUCCGAAGUUUCCCUCAGGAUAGCUGGCGCAAAGAAUUAUAUUGUAUAUAAUCUUAUCUGGUAAAGCGAAUGAUUAGAGGCCUUGGGGCCGAAACGACCUCAACCUAUUCUCAAACUUUAAAUGGGUAAGAACCUCAUCUUUCUUGAUCUGAAGAUAUUGGGGUUUAGAUAUAUUGUGCCCAGUGGGCCACUUUUGGUAAGCAGAACUGGCGCUGUGGGAUGAACCAAACAUGAUGUUACGGCGCCUAAAUUAAUGACUCAUAUUGAUACCAUGAAAGGCGUUGGUUGCUUAAAACAGCAGGACGGUGGACAUGGAAGUCGUAAUCCGCUAAGGAGUGUGUAACAACUCACCUGCCGAAGCAACUAGCCCUUAAAAUGGAUGGCGCUCAAGUCAUAUGCCUAUACAUCAUCGCUAGAAUAAAAAUUGUUGACCAUUUUGGUGAUCAUUAUGAAAUUCUAGUGAGUAGGAGGGUACAAUGGUGUGCGCAGAAGUGUUUGGCGUGAGCCUGCAUGAAGCCGCCAUUGGCACAGAUCUUGGUGGUAGUAGCAAAUAAUCGAAUGAGAUCUUGGAGGACUGAAGUGGAGAAGGGUUUCGUGUGAACAGUGGUUGAUCACGAGUUAGUCGGUCCUAAGCUUUAUGCGAAAGCUGUUUAAUUUAUGUUACACACAAAAUUUUUGUUGUACAUAAUUCAAUAAAAGCGAAAGGGAAUACGGUUCCAAUUCCGUAACCUGUUGAGUAUACGUUUGUUUAUUAAAAAUGGGUCUUAUUACACUCAUCCUGGCAACAGGAACGACCAUAGAGAAGCCUUCGAGAGAUACUGGAAGAGUUUUCUUUUCUGCUAAACAAACGUAUCACCAUGGAAGUCUUUUAUAGAGAGAUAUGGUGGAUGGAUUGGAAGAGCAUGACAUUUACUGUUGUGUCAGUAUUUUCUCCUUGGACCUUGAAAAUCUAUGGUGGGGCCACGCAAACUUCUCAACAGACCGUACCGAUAUCCGCAG
rnacentral:rRNA from 1 species